rnacentral:rRNA from 1 species
UACGUAGGGUGCAAGCGUUAAUCGGAAUUACUAGGCGUAAAGCGUGCGCAGGCGGUUUUGUAAGUCUGUCGUGAAAUCCCCGGGCUUAACCUGGGAAUUGCGAUGGAGACUGCAAGGCUAGAAUCUGGCAGAGGGGGGUAGAAUUCCACGUGUAGCAGUGAAAUGCGUAGAGAUGUGGAGGAACACCGAUGGCGAAGGCAGCCCCCUGGGUCAAGAUUGACGCUCAUGCACGAAAGCGUGGGGAGCAAACAGG